UUUCCGUAGGUGAACCUGCGGAAGGAUCAUUAUUGUAUAACCAAGGUGCGGGGGCUUCCGCUGACCCGCAACUACGUGCACGCCAGAGUGCCCCCACACCUCUCCAUCUCACCCCUGUUUGCACCACCGCGUCGGUCCCCCUUUGGCGUGUUGGGUGGGCGGUAUACGUUUUCACACAAACUUUAGUUGCAGUUUAGAAUGUAUUUUUUCUUUUUGCGAUCACCCAAUCAAAACAACGUUCAUCAACGGAACACUUGGCUCUCGUAUCGAUGGAGAAAG
rnacentral:misc_RNA from 1 species